rnacentral:rRNA from 1 species
UAAACUAGGAUUAGAUACCCUAGUAUUUUAGAAAAAUCUUAGGUAGUAAUAAAUUAUAUUUAAACCUAUUUAUAAUGGCGGCAUUUCAUCUUAUCAGAGGAACCUGUUAUCUAAUCGACAAUCCACGUUAAAUUUUACUUUAAUUAAAAAUUCAUAUACCGCCAUCUAAAAAACUAAUUUCAUGAUAAUAUUUUCAAUAAAAAAUAAAAAGUUAGGUCAAGGUGUGAUCAACAUUAAAGAAAUAAAUGGGUUACAUUAAAAACAAUUUAAGGACUUUCAUAUAAAAAUAUGUAAUAAAAAAGGAUUUGAAAGUAAUAAUAAAAUAAUAUUUUAUUAUAAUUAAGAUAAUAAAUGUGCCAUAUCGCCCGUCACCCUUAUCAAAAGGUAAGAUAAGUCGUAACAUAGUAA